UUUUUCUUCUUUUGUUUCUUCCGCGCACUCUUUUUUCUCUUUUUCUACGGAUUCACCGCGUUUUUCUCGUUUUCUCGCUGCUUGCACGUCUCUCCUCUCUUUCCACCAUGGAAUUCUUGCUUGUUCCACUGCGAGAACUUCUUGCUCAACUUCGCUCUCCUUCCCAGCCGACUGCUGCUCUUCGCUGCUCCGAGACACGGCUACGUGCUCGUCGUCCUUUCUCUCCUGGCGGAUCGCGGGGUUCGCCCCCACCUUCUCCUUCGACUGCGACGCUGCUACACAUGGUCCACGCUGUCUCUUGGCUCGGUCCGGGCCGCGAAGAUGAGGUGGCCCCGAAGACGAACACUGAAGGAGGGUGGAGGUGCUGACAGUGGCGUCUAACGCGGUUAUCUACGUAAAAGAGCUACGCUUGAAAGGGCCCAUGCGUCUCCAUUAUUGCUAUUCGUCGCGAGAAACGGUUCCUCGUGUCACGUUCACAAGGGCCAUGUAGAAUUUUAUCUACGUCAGUGGGCAAAGAAAGGAGAUGAGGUGGUUCCGAUCCAAACUCUGCGCCGUCUUGCUUUUUCACUCCCCUCGGAACUUCUCGGAUUAUUAAUCCAGCGACGAGAGAGGAUCCGUGGCGUUCGCGGAGAUUAUGGGCUCGAGAGCACGGCCAAGGUGCUGCUACGUUAACAAGCAUCAAUAGGCCGAAAGAGGAACGAGAAGGCGCAGGGAUCGUAAAAUGUGAUUCCGAGGAUGAAAGAUCGCGCUUUGCUCUGUCCCUUUAUCUACGCGAUAUCCCUUCGACAAAGUAGCGAAAUGGGAGUAUACGUGCAAAAUUGAUUCGUAGGCAGUACACCGAAUCGAUUUGAUUUUAGAAAUGGCUUUUGGAUUCUUCGUUGUCCAUAUUAUUAUGAACAAAUGUAAUGUAUUUACGAGGAAAUAAUCGUAUGAAAAAUACGAGGAAAUAAUAAAAUCAUUAAGAAAGAUUUUGAUAAACAAUAUCUAAUCCACUAGUGGAGAAAUUAGAUUCAAUAACUUAAUCCUUAUUGGAUACAGGACAUAGAGUUUCGUGUUAUGUUAAUUUUUUUUUCAAAUUGAAUAUUGUAUAAUACUUGAACCAAAUGGAAAGUCUUCACUUCUAUCUGUGUGCAAGUAAGGAAUAUCCAGUUAUUUUUCUAAUACUCGAAUUCUUUUUCUCUUUGUUUUAUUACAUUUUGUUUCAUUCAUAAUUUAUCUAUCAUUUAUAGUCAUAUUCCAAUUAUUAUAUUCACUUAUAACAUAAACCAAAAGUGAACAAAUAGUAAUUUAAUAUUACUACUCAUCAUUCUAAUGUACUAUUACUAUUUCAUAUUUUGAUUUAACUUUCCACAAUCAGGCUGCAAUUUUUCCAUCUCGUCCCGUUCCCUCAGUAUACAUCAUCUGAGAUUUCCUUGCCAUUAACACAAUUCCACGCAUACACAUUCCCUUUCGUUCACCUUUCACAUUCCACACAUCACCUUCUUACCAUCACAAUAUCCAUAAAAACCUAUAAAUUCGAAACAAAUCUAUCUCGAAAAAACAAUGAUGCAGCUU